GGGUGCGAUCAUACCACCACUAAUGCACCGGAUCCCAUCAGAACUCCGCAGUUAAGCGUGCUUGGGCGAGAGUAGUACUAGGAUGGGUGACCUCCUGGGAAGUCCUCGUGUUGCACCCC
rnacentral:rRNA from 1 species